AUUAUGAACAGUAUAAAAAUAAAUAUGAACAGUGUAAAACUUAUGUGCAGUAAUUAGCACAUCAACAAUCAGCACAUUUCAUCUGUUUUUCACUGAGGAAAUCUAUGACAUCUUGGUCAACAUGACAAACCUGCAGGUAAAGUAGAAACUAUUACACUCCUUAGAUAACAUUUUCAGCAUAAUUUAACAAUACUGAGAUAAUAUUGAUGACUGUAAUACUUGUGUUCAUAAUAAUUGUGAUAUGAAAUUUUCAUACUGUUUCAUCUCUAUGUACAGGGCCAUCGGCUCUUGCAGAAAUGGACACCUGCAGACAAACUGGAGAUGUAGGCCUUCAUCGGCCUUCUCCUCUUGGCUGGUGUGUACAAAUCACGUGGUGAAAACACCCUGAGCCUCUGGGGCAAGGAUGGCAGGGAUAUCUUCCUGGCAGUAAUGUCGAGGAAGAGGUUCAACAUCAUAUCCAGGAUGCUAAGUUGGAUUUUCAUUUAAUAUAUUGAGUCAUUCAAUUAUAAUUUAAUUUCAUGUCAAAUAAAUAAUUUAUAUAAAUGAAUGUAUUAAUAAAUAGUUUUUAAAAAUUGAAUUAAAAAUAGAUGUAUAUAUGCAUUAAUUUCAUCUAGGUGGAUAAAGGGAUGUGUUGUGACAUUGUUCUUCUUAUUUUUAAUCGAUUAGGUUCGAUGACCGUGAAAAAUGAGCGGCACGCUUUCGGCGGGACCAUGACAAAUUGGGACCAAUCAGAGAAGUCUGGGACAUCUGGGUCUCCGCUGUGCAAAAGAUGUGGGCACCUUGUUCAGAGGUCUGUGUGGACGAGAUGCUGAUUGGUUUUCGUGGAAGAUGUCCCUUCUUGCAGUACAUGCCUUCAAAGCCAGACAAAUAUGGAUUGAAGGUGUGGGUCCUCUGUGAGUGCUUUACAUCUUACUGCUGGAAUCUUCAGAUUUAUCUGGGGAAACUAUCCCCAACAGCAAAACAUUAGGUGGGCCUAGGGAAGCGAGUGGUGAUGGAGCUGACGGUGGGCCUUACGGGAACCAUGACCACCGACAACUUCUUCACGUCUCAUGACCUGGGGCAGCAGCUGCUAAAGAGGGGGAUGGCCCUCGUUGGCACAAUCCGUAAAACCGAGCCAGAGCUCCCACCACAGCUCCUGCAGAUGAGGGGAAGGGAGGUGCUGUCCACCAUCUUUGGAUUCACCAAAGACACAAUGGUCUGCUCCUACAUGCCAAAGGAUCAAAAGCUGGUGGUGCUCCUCAGUACAAGGCACUGGCAGCCAGUGGUUACUGGCACCUACACAUGCCACAGGCAGACAAGGAGGUGGCCAGUGGCUGUCUUCUCCAGAGAGUUCGGCAUCUCCUGCUGGAACGGCUUCCUUGUUUGGACAGCUCUGAACCCAAGAUGAGAAAUAAGGAAGACACACCGCAGGAGGCUUUUCUUUGACAUCCUUGGGAAAGGACUCCCCGAUGACCACCCGCUACCACCCACCAGACACGAGCUGCCACCCACUACAACCUGCAUGCAGCCAUGCAGCAAAAGCUAAUUGGUUUCAUGUUUUUACAAUUCAAUCACAACAAUUACAUCAGUUAAAAAAAACUAAAUUGAUCUUA